CAAGGUCUUGAUUGUGGCCCACGGCCUUCUGGAUUCUCUGUGAUUUACUGUAACAUGGAUUCCCUGCAAUUAAGACCAGCGUGGAUUCCCCUGAAAACGCGCUCAUCGGUCAGCCGGCUUACCGCUCCGGGACCACACGUUCUCAGCGUGACUCAAUCCUCAAUAACCACCAAGCUGAUCACGGGAGGAACAACACCAUGGAAACCACACCCGGUGAUCCUCUUGACCAAGACCCGAGGGGCCGUUGUGUAACCGGGAUGGACCUGAGCCUCAUGAGCAGGACCGUACUGCAGCUCCUUCCCCCCCUUGGUUGACAUCAAGGGACGCCCGGUCACACCCGGGAAGAGUGGCGGCCGAACAUUCAACGUUUACAAUCUUAAACAAAAGACACCGCAGCGUUUGAAGUCUGAGCUCCCGUGUGAUAAAAUCAGCUCUAUGAUUGGCACGGUUCCAUCGGCUGUGGUUGCCCAACAUAUUGUUUUGCAGCUGCCUGAUUGAACGCCACCUGGAACGAUCUCUCCCGAGACUUGGCCGCGUUAUGCAUCUAAAUAUCGGUGACAAGCGCUCCUCUGUAGGGCUGGGCCUGGC
ensembl:lncRNA